rnacentral:rRNA from 1 species
GGGCCCGCACAAGCGGUGGAGCAUGUGGUUUAAUUCGAUGAUACGCGAGGAACCUUACCUGGGCUUAAAUGUAGAUUGACGUAUUGUGAAAGCAGUAUUUCUUCGGACAAUUUACAAGGUGCUGCAUGGCUGUCGUCAGCUCGUGCUGUGAGGUGUCGGUUAAGUCCCAUAACGAGCGCAACCCCUAUCUUUAGUUGCCAGCGAGUAAUGUCGGGGACUCUAGAGAGACUGCCGGUGUAAACCGAGAGGAAGGUGGGGAUGACGUCAAGUCAGCACGGCCCUUACGUCCAGGGCUACACACGUGCUACAAUGGUAGGUACAGAGGGCAGCUACACAGCGAUGUGAUGCA